CACCAUCAACAUGUGUCCAUUGUGGAUGAUGUGUGUUUUCCUUUAUUUUUGUCUGUCCAUGCAGGUACAGCAUCCACAGAUACUGUGUGUGGUGACUGUGUAGGCGACAUAUACUCAGAUGGAUCAUUCACAUCCUGCAGACCACACACACGGUGUGAGUUGAUUGGACUUGUCGUCCUAAGAGAAGGAUCAUCUUCUUAUGACACUGAUUGUGGUCAAA